CAAGAUCAAACCCAGGUUGUGACAGCAGGUGUGUUCUGUUUCUCCAAGGCACACUCCCACCCCUGCUAGGCAUGCUAUUAUUGUCUGUGGUGUUAGGUGAAUACCUAGAGGAAUGUUUCCAUUCUGUAACAAAAUUAUAUGUUUUUUUUAAUUUGAAAUAAAUUUUAUGUUAGGUUUUUGGCUCUUGUCCAAGGAAGAACAUGCAGAUAACUAUUCUCACAUGUCGACAUGUUACCGAUUAUAAAACCUCAGAAUCCACCGGCAGCCUUCCUUCUCCUUUCCUGAGAGCCCUAAAAACACAGAAUUUCAAAGACUCGGCGUGUUGUCCAUUGCUAGAACAACCGAAUAUAGUACACGACCUUCCUGCAGCAGUUCUAAGCUACUGUCAAGUAUGGAAAAUCCCAGCAAUUCUGUACUUGUGUUAUACUGAUGUGAUGAAAUUAGACCUAAUCACAGUGGAAGCUUUUAAGCCUAUACUUUCUACCAGAAGCUUGAAGGGUUUGGUUAAGAAUAUUCCCCAAAGCACUGAGAUACUAAAGAAAUUGAUGACAACAAAUGAGAUUCAGAGUAACAUUUAUACAUGAUCUUAAACAUUGUUUUGUAGUGUAUAUUACUUGUCCAUUCCUUUAAGGGGAGCAGCCUGCACUCUUUUGUAGAUUACUUUUGGGGGAUAUAUUUUGAGAAUGAUGAAACGGAAUAAAAUUGUAAAAAAUUAA
rnacentral:lncRNA from 1 species